rnacentral:lncRNA from 1 species
CACUAUACUUAGUGCAUAGUUAUACUUGUUGCGCAUUAUUCUACAUUCAUCGAACAAAUCAUAAAAGGUACUUAAAAGCUCAUUGAAAGAUAAAUUUGUAUCUAAAGAACCACUUACCUCAUCUUUGAUAGCCAUUAGUGCGUUGUUGGUGAUUUUCUUGUUGCUUUGUUCUUCAUCUUCAGAAUAGCUCGAAUCAUCC